GACGAACGCUGGCGGCGUGCUUAACACAUGCAAGUCGAACGAUGAAGCCGGAGCUUGCUCUGGUGAAUUAGUGGCGAACGGGUGAGUAACACGUGAGUAACCUGCCCUUGACUCUGGGAUAACUGCGGGAAACUGUAGCUAAUACCGGAUACGACCCUCGGAGGCAUCUCCUGGGGGUGGAAAGAAUUUCGGUCAAGGAUGGACUCGCGGCCUAUCAGCUAGUUGGUGAGGUAAAGGCUCACCAAGGCGACGACGGGUAGCCGGCCUGAGAGGGUGACCGGCCAAACUGGGACUGAGCCACGGCCCAGACUCCUACGGGAGGCAGCAGUGGGGAAUAUUGCACAAUGGGCGCAAGCCUGAUGCAGCAACGCCGCGUGAGGGAUGACGGCCUUCGGGUUAUAAACCUCUUUUAGUAGGGAAGAAGCGAAAGUGACGGUACCUGCGGAAAAAGCACCGGCUAACUACGUGCCAGCAGCCGCCGUAA
rnacentral:rRNA from 1 species